rnacentral:sRNA from 1 species
GACUCGUUAGCUCAGUAGGUUAGAGCGCCGAUA